rnacentral:tRNA from 1 species
CCUCUCAUGGCGUAGUGGUCAACGCGCCCCAACUAGAGAUCGGCGAGUCGUGAGUUCGAUUCUCACUGAGAAGA